GUGGGGAAUAUUGGACAAUGGGGGGAACCCUGAUCCAGCCAUGCCGCGUGUGUGAAGAAGGCCUUUUGGUUGUAAAGCACUUUAAGCGAGGAGGAGGCUACCGAGAUUAAUACUCUUGGAUAGUGGACGUUACUCGCAGAAUAAGCACCGGCUAACUCUGUGCCAGCAGCCGCGGUAAUACAGAGGGUGCAAGCGUUAAUCGGAUUUACUGUGCGUAAAGCGCGCGUAGGUGGCCAAUUAAGUCAAAUGUGAAAUCCCCGAGCUUAACUUGGGAAUUGCAUUCGAUACUGGUUGGCUAGAGUAUGGGAGAGGAUGGUAGAAUUCCAGGUGUAGCGGUUAAAUGCGUAGAGAUCUGGAGGAAUACCGAUGGCGAAGGCAGCCAUCUGGCCUAAUACUGACACUGAGGUGCGAAAGCAUGGGGAGCAAACAGGAUUAGAAACCCUAGUAGUCC
rnacentral:rRNA from 1 species